rnacentral:rRNA from 1 species
UUUUAUGGAGAGUUUGAUCCUGGCUCAGGAUGAACGCUGGCGGCGUGCCUAAUACAUGCAAGUCGAGCGAACGGACGAGAAGCUUGCUUCUCUGAUGUUAGCGGCGGACGGGUGAGUAACACGUGGAUAACCUACCUAUAAGACUGGGAUAACUUCGGGAAACCGGAGCUAAUACCGGAUAAUAUUUUGAACCGCAUGGUUCAAAAGUGAAAGACGGUCUUGCUGUCACUUAUAGAUGGAUCCGCGCUGCAUUAGCUAGUUGGUAAGGUAACGGCUUACCAAGGCAACGAUGCAUAGCCGACCUGAGAGGGUGAUCGGCCACACUGGAACUGAGACACGGUCCAGACUCCUACGGGAGGCAGCAG